rnacentral:rRNA from 1 species
AAGCACGGCCACACCGCCUGGUUCACGCCCGAUCUCGUUUGAUCUCGGAAGCUAAGAUAGGUUGGGCCUGGUUAGUACUUGGAUGGGAGACCGCCUAGGAAUACCAGGUGCUGUAAGGC